UUGUCGUCAGCUCGUGUCGUGAGAUGUUGGUUAAGUCCGCAACGAGCGCAACCCUCGACCUUAGUUGCCAGCAUUCAGUUGGGCACUCUAAGGUGACUGCCGGCUAAAAGUCGGAGGAAGGUGGGGAUGACGUCAAAUCAUCAUGCCCCUUAUGACCUGGGCUACACACGUGCUACAAUGGGCGGUACAAAGGGUCGCGAACCCGCGAGGGGGAGCCAAUCCCAAAAAGCCGCUCUCAGUUCGGAUUGCAGGCUGCAACUCGCCUGCAUGAAGCCGGAAUCGCUAGUAAUCGCGGAUCAGCAUGCCGCGGUGAAUACGUUCCCGGGCCUU
rnacentral:rRNA from 1 species